rnacentral:lncRNA from 1 species
GUUGGAGUGACUGCGGGAGCGGUGGAGGGGGGAAUGAAGGAGCGUGGGAGGGAUAUCUUGCAGGCUAAGCUUGGUACAGCCCUAGCAUGUGAGGCAUAUAGUCGGAGUAUUACUGUAAAAUGGGAUGGGGUUAAAUGCGUUAGACAGCUGGAGAGGGGUGUGCAGCCGAAUGUGGUGGAGUCUGUGGAAGUUUUGGAGCGGGCAGAGCGAGAGGCUUUGAUUAGUGACGGGUUGGCUUGGGAACCAUCUACAGCUUGGAGGUGUCUGCUUGAUAGAAGGAUGGAUGAUUGAUGCGGAGGAUUGUGUAGUGGAGUUGCGAAGUUCUGGCUUGGAAAGGUUUGGACCUGUGUUGUGAAG